AGGGAGGAAAAAAAUGAGCAGAAACUGCUAACAUCUGGAGGCUGCUGUCCAGUUUACGUAAUCUCUUGCUGCAGAGGAGGAACACGGGAUCCCCAGCCAGAUGGUCCGUGGGUGACUUCACAGCACAUGUGCUACCUCCAAGACAGGGUUCUCUGAGGAACAAGGACCUUCCAGAGUGAUGCUUUUCCCUAGUGGCAGCCUUGGCCAGGGCAACAGACAUCUGCACAAACGCAGGGUGUUGAAGCAGCUGUUCUGAGAUGCAGUGCCUGAGAAUCUGGGAUCCACAAUGUGAACUUCUCAACAACCCCUGCACCUGCCACUUCCCUGAAUCUUCCACUAAGCACCAGAAGACACAUGCAUUUUAAAUCAAAGGAAUGGCUCCCAUGCAGAAACCAGAGUGUUAAAAUGGAUCCCUCCCACCCUGAACUCUGACUGGUUUGGUUCACCUCAAAGACCAUCCUCCUGCUAUAUGGUUUCGAUAAGUCUAAAAAGAUGAGCCAUUCAAGCCACAGUGUCUUCUAUCUCCAAGCUGGUGAGACACACUGCAGUCCUCUACAGAACAGAAGAGAGACAGUGCACAAGAUUGCUCUUGGGUAAGUUUUCUUUUUCUUAUGU
rnacentral:lncRNA from 10 species